AGUGAACGCUGGCGGCGUGCUUAACACAUGCAAGUCGAACGAUGAAGCUCUAGCUUGCUAGAGUGGAUUAGUGGCGCACGGGUGAGUAAUAUAUAGCUAACCUGCCCUAUACAGGGGGACAACAGUUGGAAACGACUGCUAAUACCCCAUACUCCUACUUAUCAUAAGUUAAGUAGGGAAAGUUUUUCGGUAUAGGAUGGGGCUGUACGGUAUCAGUUUGUUGGUGAGGUAAUGGCUCACCAAGACUAUGACGCCUAGCUGGUCUGAGAGGAUGAUCAGCCACACUGGAGCUGAGACACGGUCCAGACUCCUACGGGAGGCAGCAGUGGGGAAUAUUGCACAAUGGGCGAAAGCCUGAUGCAGCAACGCCGCGUGGAGGAUGACGCAUUUCGGUGUGUAAACUCCUUUUAUAUCCCAAGAAAUUGACGGUAAGAUAUGAAUAAGCACCGGCUAACUCCGUGCCUGCAGCCGCGGUAAUACGGAGGGUGCAAGCGUUACUCGGAAUCACUGGGCGUAAAGAGCAUGUAGGCGGUUUAGUAAGUCAGAUGUGAAAUCCCAUAGCUUAACUAUGGAACUGCAUUUGAAACUACUUGACUAGAGUAAGGGAGAGGCAGAUGGAAUUUAGUGGUGUAGGGGUAAAAUCCGUAGAGAUCACUUAGGAAUACCCAUUGCGAAGCGAUCUGCUGGAACUUAACUGACGCUAAGAUGCGAAAGCGUGGGGAGCAAACAGGA
rnacentral:rRNA from 1 species